CUUUUCACAUAUUUAGACAUAAUAUAGUACUAUGAAAUGUUUCUGACCCAAAAUAUUACGAAAUAUGAUUGUUUACAUUAAAAUGCAAAAGUUGAUGAAAAAGUAUGAUAAGGUGAAAAAAGUGACAUUUUAUGUCUAGAAAGUCACUUUUCAUCAAAAGUGCAAUAACAAAACUUGUUCCCAUUCAUCCUGUGUCUCCAUGCACACUUGUGCUCUUUAUCCGCUCAAAACGCUAUACAGCGAACGAGAAGGCGCUAGGAGCAAAGGAAAGUGGUUUUUCUAACAAACUCAUAUAAUCAGUUGCCCGACCUACUCCAAUUUGAUUCUUUUCACAUAUUUAGACAUAAUAUAGUACUAUGAAAUGUUUCUGACCCAAAAUAUUACGAAAUAUGAUUGUUUACAUUAAAAUGUAAAAGUUGAUGAAAAAGUAUGAUAAGGUGAAAAAAGUGACAUUUUAUGUCUAGAAAGUCAGUUUUCAUCAAAAGUGCAAUAACAAAACUUGUUCCCAUUCAUCCUGUGUCUCCAUGCACACUUGUGCUCUUUAUCCGCUCAAAACGCUAUACAGCGAACGAGAAGGCGCUAGGAGCAAAGGAAAGUGGUUUUUCUAACAAACUCAUAUAAUCAGUUGCCCGACCUACUCCAAUUUGAUUUUUUUCACAUAGUUAGACAUAAUAUAGUACUAUGAAAUGUUUCUGACCCAAAAUAUUACGAAAUAUGAUUGUUUACCUUAAAAUGCAAAAGUUGAUGAAAAAGUAUGAUAAGGUGAAAAAAGUGACAUUUUAUGUCUAGAAAGUCAGUUUUCAUCAAAAGUGCAAUAACAAAACUUGUUCCCAUUCAUCCAGUGUCUCCAUGCACACUUGUGCUCUUUAUCCGCUCAAAACGCUAUACAGCGAACGAGAAGGCGCUAGGAGCAAAGGAAAGUGGUUUUUCUAACAAACUCAUAUAAUCAGUUGCCCGACCUACUCCAAUUUGAUUCUUUUCACAUAUUUAGACAUAAUAUAGUACUAUGAAAUGUUUCUGACACAAAAUAUUACGAAAUAUGAUUGUUUACAUUAAAAUGCAAAAGUUGAUGAAA
ensembl:lncRNA